GCCAGGGUUCCAUCUCCCAGCACAGGAUAAACCAGGCAUGGUGGUGCCUAGCCAUCUGUAACCCAGCACCUGGCAAGUGGGGUCAAGAGGAUCAGAAAAGUUCAAGGUCACACUCUGCUCCGAAGAGAUUCUAAGGCUCAUCAGUAAUGGCAGUACUGUCAGGCUCGGAGCCUUGACUACCUGCAAAUUUAAGGGCUCAAGGUAAUUACCGUGCAGCGCAGCCCAGCUCUGUUCCGGUUGCACGCAUCACAUGAACAAGACUUGGACUGCAGACCUUCACUGCACCUCGGAAAGCACAGCACUGAGGUAUGGGCACCUCAUUUGUGCAGUGCCAUGGAGGCCAGAAGACCAUGUCAGAUGUCCUGGAACUGGAGUUACAG